AAUGCACAGGACACUUUUUACGAAUUAGUUGAGCACUCUCUACAAAGUGACGAGGAUUUUCAAAGGAAAGUGACUGUCAUAAAAGAUCUGCGGGAGAUGACUAGUGGUGUCCUCCAUUAUUAUAAAGGAGAUUUCUUGGAUGAGCUUCCUGGACUUGUAGAUUUCACUGUAGUGCUGAAUCUCAGUUCCAGACAAAAGAGUGAAACCCAGAAGUUAAAGAAGUGGUCUAGGAAGAUGAAGAUUGCUGCAGCUGGAAGUGCUACUUAUCUGCAUCCGAAAUUGGCUACUUAUCUGCAUCCGAAAAUGAAUUCCCUCUCUGAGAAAAGUGUCCCAACAGAUGAUAAGAUGGAUGAGCUGUUGGAAAGACUGGAUAUAAAAGAUGGAGUGAAGGCUAAAUUCUUUCUGAAUAUGUUGAACUUAUGUGAGGCUUCUGGUGAAAGGUUACUAGUUUUCAGUCAGUACCUCCUG
rnacentral:lncRNA from 1 species